GGUUUCGUGGUCUAGCGGUAUGAUUCUCGCUUAGGGUAACAACCUGAGUUCACGUGUUCAAGGCCUCCUGAGCAAAAACAUGCGAAAGGCCCCGGGUUCAAUCCCCGGCGAAACCC